AAAAUACUCCCUCCGUUUCAAAAUAGAUGACUCAACUUUGUAUUAAAGUUACUUUGUACUAACUUUAGUACAAAGUUGAGUCAUCUAUUUUGAAACGGAGGGAGUAGAUU
rfam:Triticum aestivum genome assembly, contig: Triticum_aestivum_CS42_TGACv1_scaffold_577489_7BL